AUGGCGACCGGCGUACGGGUGAGUAACGCGUAUCCAACCUGCCCUUUACUAUGGGACAGCCCGUCGAAAGGCGGAUUAAUACCGUAUGUUGUCAUGUUGAUGCAUAUUUUCACGACCAAAGGCUUCGGCCGGUAAAGGAUGGGGAUGCGUCUGAUUAGCUUGCCGGCGGGGUAACGGCCCACCGGGGCGACGAUCAGUAGGGGUUCUGAGAGGAAGGUCCCCCACAUUGGAACUGAGACACGGUCCAAACUCCUACGGAAGGCAGCAG
rnacentral:rRNA from 1 species